rnacentral:rRNA from 1 species
UACGGGGGGGGCAAGCGUUGUUCGGAAUUACUGGGCGUAAAGGGCUCGUAGGCGGCCAACUAAGUCAUACGUGAAAUCCCUCGGCUUAACCGGGGAACUGCGUCUGAUACUGGAUGGCUUGAGUUCGGGAGAGGGAUGCGGAAUUCCAGGUGUAGCGGUGAAAUGCGUAGAUAUCUGGAGGAACACCGGUGGCGAAGGCGGCAUCCUGGACCGAUACUGACGCUGAGGCGCGAGAGCGUGGGGAGCAAACGGG